rnacentral:rRNA from 1 species
UACGAAGGGGGCUAGCGUUGCUCGGAAUCACUGGGCGUAAAGCGCACGUAGGCGGAUCUUUAAGUCAGGGGUGAAAUCCCAAGGCUCAACCUUGGAACUGCCUUUGAUACUGGGGAUCUCGAGUCCGGAAGAGGUUGGUGGAACUGCGAGUGUAGAGGCGAAAUUCGUAGAUAUUCGCAAGAACACCAGUGGCGAAGGCGGCCAACUGGUCCGGUACUGACGCUGAGGUGCGAAAGCGUGGGGAGCAAACAGG